GUCUUAUAUUCAAUCAUGAUAAUAAAUUGCAAAUUUAUAGGUGAAAAUUUUCUAAGGCUUA
rnacentral:tRNA from 1 species